ACAGGGACAAUCCAUUUCAAAGUCAGCCAAAUGAUAAUUAAUGCAGCCUGUUAUAGACUGAACCUUUGGAGACAGGGAUUAUUCCUAUACUUCUUCACACAAAGAUCUGCUCCAGCGUCUUCGUGGGUGUUGAGACGUUGGCGCCUCGACCCUGCCUCUGAUCCAGACUGUGAUGCUGCUCCAGGUCCUGGUCCGUGUACUGCUCCUGGUCCUGGUCAUCGUAGUGGUACUGAUCAUGAUCCAAGUCCAGGCUGCCUUCUUGGUCCAGGUCUUCCCUGGACAUGAACUGUGUGCGGUCGCUGGAGCUUCGCUGGGACAGCUGGUCCAUGCUGUCUCCGAGAGCUGACGCUAGCGAUGCGGAAGAGAAAAUAACAGUCACACCACCUGGAAUCUAUUGCUAAAAAUUACACAUUCAUUAAACUGUUAUUUUAACUACAAACGCACACUGAGGAGAGCGAUUCAGCCAAGAAGAGAAAGGCAGUGACGCUAAAAAUACUUAAAGACUGUUCAGUAAAAUAAUAAAACCUUUAGGAAUAAGUGCAGUCAUUAAACAGCCACAAGAUAGAAAUGACUGAAUUAAAUGUUAAAAUGCCCCGAGGA